rnacentral:rRNA from 1 species
GGCCGGGGGGGCGUGCCUAUACAUGCAAGUCGAACGAACUCUGGUAUUGAUUGGUGCUUGCAUCAUGAUUUACAUUUGAGUGAGUGGCGAACUGGUGAGUAACACGUGGGAAACCUGCCCAGAAGCGGGGGAUAACACCUGGAAACAGAUGCUAAUACCGCAUAACAACUUGGACCGCAUGGUCCGAGUUUGAAAGAUGGCUUCGGCUAUCACUUUUGGAUGGUCCCGCGGCGUAUUAGCUAGAUGGUGGGGUAACGGCUCACCAUGGCAAUGAUACGUAGCCGACCUGAGAGGGUAAUCGGCCACAUUGGGACUGAGACACGGCCCAAACUCCUACGGGAGGCAGCAGUAGGGAAUCUUCCACAAUGGACGAAAGUCUGAUGGAGCAACGCCGCGUGAGUGAAGAAGGGUUUCGGCUCGUAAAACUCUGUUGUUAAAGAAGAACAUAUCUGAGAGUAACUGUUCAGGUAUUGACGGUAUUUAACCAGAAAGCCACGGCUAACUACGUGCCAGCAGCCGCGGUAAUACGUAGGUGGCAAGCGUUGUCCGGAUUUAUUGGGCGUAAAGCGAGCGCAGGCGGUUUUUUAAGUCUGAUGUGAAAGCCUUCGGCUCAACCGAAGAAGUGCAUCGGAAACUGGGAAACUUGAGUGCAGAAGAGGACAGUGGAACUCCAUGUGUAGCGGUGAAAUGCGUAGAUAUAUGGAAGAACACCAGUGGCGAAGGCGGCUGUCUGGUCUGUAACUGACGCUGAGGCUCGAAAGUAUGGGUAGCAAACAGGAUUAGAUACCCUGGUAGUCCAUACCGUAAACGAUGAAUGCUAAGUGUUGGAGGGUUUCCGCCCUUCAGUGCUGCAGCUAACGCAUUAAGCAUUCCGCCUGGGGAGUACGGCCGCAAGGCUGAAACUCAAAGGAAUUGACGGGGGCCCGCACAAGCGGUGGAGCAUGUGGUUUAAUUCGAAGCUACGCGAAGAACCUUACCAGGUCUUGACAUACUAUGCAAAUCUAAGAGAUUAGACGUUCCCUUCGGGGACAUGGAUACAGGUGGUGCAUGGUUGUCGUCAGCUCGUGUCGUGAGAUGUUGGGUUAAGUCCCGCAACGAGCGCAACCCUUAUUAUCAGUUGCCAGCAUUAAGUUGGGCACUCUGGUGAGACUGCCGGUGACAAACCGGAGGAAGGUGGGGAUGACGUCAAAUCAUCAUGCCCCUUAUGACCUGGGCUACACACGUGCUACAAUGGAUGGUACAACGAGUUGCGAACUCGCGAGAGUAAGCUAAUCUCUUAAAGCCAUUCUCAGUUCGGAUUGUAGGCUGCAACUCGCCUACAUGAAGUCGGAAUCGCUAGUAAUCGCGGAUCAGCAUGCCGCGGUGAAUACGUUCCCGGGCCUUGUACACACCGCCCGUCACACCAUGAGAGUUUGUAACACCCAAAGUCGGUGGGGUAACCUUUUAGGAACCAGCCGCCUAAGGGUGAACAAGAAAU